GUGCUUGCUUUGGCAGCACAUAUACUAAACUGGAAUAACAGAGAAGAUUAGCAUGGCCCCUGUACAAGAAUGACAUGAAAAUUCCUCAAGUGUUCCGUAUUUUU
ensembl:snRNA U6 U6 spliceosomal RNA